UACGUAGGGUGCAAGCGUUAUCCGGAAUUAUUGGGCGUAAAGAGCUCGUAGGCGGUUUGUCGCGUCUGCUGUGAAAACUGGAGGCUCAACCUCCAGCCUGCAGUGGGUACGGGCAAACUAGAGUGCGGUGGGGGAGAUUGGAAUUCCUGGUGUAGCGGUGGAAUGCGCAGAUAUCAGGAGGAACACCGAUGGCGAAGGCAGAUCUCUGGGCCGUAACUGACGCUGAGGAGCGAAAGCAUGGGGAGCGAACAGG
rnacentral:rRNA from 1 species